AGAGUUUGAUCAUGGCUCAGAUUGAACGCUGGCGGCAGGCCUAACACAUGCAAGUCGAGCGGUAGCACAGAGAGCUUGCUCUCGGGUGACGAGCGGCGGACGGGUGAGUAAUGUCUGGGAAACUGCCUGAUGGAGGGGGAUAACUACUGGAAACGGUAGCUAAUACCGCAUAAUGUCGCAAGACCAAAGUGGGGGACCUUCGGGCCUCAUGCCAUCAGAUGUGCCCAGAUGGGAUUAGCUAGUAGGUGGGGUAACGGCUCACCUAGGCGACGAUCCCUAGCUGGUCUGAGAGGAUGACCAGCCACACUGGAACUGAGACACGGUCCAGACUCCUACGGGAGGCAGCAGUGGGGAAUAUUGCACAAUGGGCGCAAGCCUGAUGCAGCCAUGCCGCGUGUGUGAAGAAGGCCUUCGGGUUGUAAAGCACUUUCAGCGGGGAGGAAGGCGGUGAGGUUAAUAACCUCAUCGAUUGACGUUACCCGCAGAAGAAGCACCGGCUAACUCCGUGCCAGCAGCCGCGGUAAUACGGAGGGUGCAAGCGUUAAUCGGAAUUACUGGGCGUAAAGCGCACGCAGGCGGUCUGUCAAGUCGGAUGUGAAAUCCCCGGGCUCAACCUGGGAACUGCAUUCGAAACUGGCAGGCUAGAGUCUUGUAGAGGGGGGUAGAAUUCCAGGUGUAGCGGUGAAAUGCGUAGAGAUCUGGAGGAAUACCGGUGGCGAAGGCGGCCCCCUGGACAAAGACUGACGCUCAGGUGCGAAAGCGUGGGGAGCAAACAGGAUUAGAUACCCUGGUAGUCCACGCCGUAAACGAUGUCGAUUUGGAGGUUGUGCCCUUGAGGCGUGGCUUCCGGAGCUAACGCGUUAAAUCGACCGCCUGGGGAGUACGGCCGCAAGGUUAAAACUCAAAUGAAUUGACGGGGGCCCGCACAAGCGGUGGAGCAUGUGGUUUAAUUCGAUGCAACGCGAAGAACCUUACCUGGUCUUGACAUCCACAGAACUUACCAGAGAUGCAUUGGUGCCUUCGGGAACUGUGAGACAGGUGCUGCAUGGCUGUCGUCAGCUCGUGUUGUGAAAUGUUGGGUUAAGUCCCGCAACGAGCGCAACCCUUAUCCUUUGUUGCCAGCGGUCCGGCCGGGAACUCAAAGGAGACUGCCAGUGAUAAACUGGAGGAAGGUGGGGAUGACGUCAAGUCAUCAUGGCCCUUACGACCAGGGCUACACACGUGCUACAAUGGCAUAUACAAAGAGAAGCGACCUCGCGAGAGCAAGCGGACCUCAUAAAGUAUGUCGUAGUCCGGAUUGGAGUCUGCAACUCGACUCCAUGAAGUCGGAAUCGCUAGUAAUCGUAGAUCAGAAUGCUACGGUGAAUACGUUCCCGGGCCUUGUACACACCGCCCGUCACACCAUGGGAGUGGGUUGCAAAAGAAGUAGGUAGCUUAACCUUCGGGAGGGCGCUUACCACUUUGUGAUUCAUGACUGGGGUGAAGUCGUAACAAGGUAACCGUAGGGGAACCUGCGGUUGGAUCACCU
rnacentral:rRNA from 1 species